CCAUAUUUUUCAAAUGCGAGAAGGAUCUCUAUAUAAUAUGAACACGCAACCGCAAACUGGAAAGAACCACCACCACCAUCGUCGUGGAAAUUAAGGAACCACAAAAAACCGUACCAAAGGAACGACAAAUCCGAUGGCGGAGUGGUUGUUAAAUCGGUGGACCGGCGCAGCCGCAGCUAUAAUGAUCCAGUGGAGCUGCGGUGCAUCGUACACCUUCAGCAUCUACUCCCCAGUGCUCAAGUCCUCGCAAGGCUACGACCAAUCCACGCUUGAUACCGUUUCGGUGUUCAAGGACAUCGGCGCCAACUUCGGCAUCCUCUCCGGCCUCCUCUACACCGCCGUCACUCCCUACCGGAGCAGCGGCGUGGAGUGCUUGUCGGCAAAGUCGAAGUGGGCCUCAUUGGGUGGUCCCUGGGUGGUGCUGGCGGCCGGGGCGGUCCAGGUGUUCGUGGGGUUCAUGUUCAUGUGGGCCGCUGUUGUUGGGCUCAUUGGGACGCCGCCGGUUUGGGUUAUGUGCUUCUUUGCGUGGCUUGGAGCUAACGGCCAGACGUUCUUGAAUACCACUAAUGUUGUCACUGGCUUGCGUAAUUUCCCUGAAUAUAGUGGUACCAUUGUGGGCAUCAUGAAGGGCUUCCUUGGACUCAGUGGAGCAAUCCUAAUUCAGCUGUAUCACACAUUUUGUGAUGGCGACCCGGCCACAUACCUUCUGAUGCUUGCUUGCUUGCCUGCAUUCAUAUGUAUACUGCUAAUGUUUUUGGUGAGGAUCUAUGAAGUGCGCGACAGCAAUUACAAGAAGCAUUUGAACGGUUUCUCAGUUGUCACUGUGAUUAUUGUUGCCUAUCUCAUGUUCAUAAUUAUUUUACAAAACUUCACCAGCUUAUCAACUUGGGCGCGCAUGUUAACAUUUGUAAUCCUAAUGGUUCUACUAGCACUCCCCUACGGCAUUGCCAUCAAAGCUCAAUGGGAGGAGUCACGAAGCUUCGCGCAAACCUUCUCGUUUGAGAGGCCCCCUUCAACGGACAGCCAAAAGCUAAUCAUGUCGUCUAGUUAUUCUCCAUCAGGGGAUCAAUCGGAAUACCAAGAACUGCCUAGUGAUGCAGGGCAGCUACAAUUGAAUUCAGAUGACAUGUUGACCCAUGAACAAGAAAUGAACCUCUUGCAAGCUAUGUGCACGAUUGAUUUUUGGAUGUUGUUUUUAACCAUGAUAUCAGGGUUAGGCUCGGGGCUUGCAAUGAUAAAUAACAUGAGCCAAAUAGGCGAAUCUCUUGGCUAUAGUACAAUUGAGAUUAAUAAUAUGGUGUCCUUGUGGAGUAUGUGGAACUUUCUUGGCCGUUUUGGAGGUGGUUAUGUAUCUGAUUAUAUCAUGCAUCGAAAAGGUUGGCCGAGGCCCUUGUUGAUGGCAGCAACUCUGGGGACGAUGAUUUUCGGCCAUGUCAUUAUAGCUGUUGGUUUCCCUGGAAACCUGUAUUUGGGUCCUGUCUUGGUGGGAAUCUGCUAUGGUGCACAUUGGUCCUUGAUGCCUACUAUCACUUCUGAGAUUUUCGGUGUAAGGCAUAUGGGUACCAUUUUCAACACUAUUGCUGCUGCAAGUCCGCUUGGAUCUUAUUUACUUUCUGUCAAAGUUGUCGGAUAUAUUUACGACAAGGAAGCCGAUAAAGAAGAUAACUCAUGCUUUGGAAUACAUUGCUUCAUGUCAUCGUUUUUUAUCCUGGCAGCUGUAUCUUUUAUCGCAUUUUUGGCUGGUCUUGCAUUAUACUUCCGGACACGAAAUUUCUAUAAGCUAGUUGUGCUCAGAAGAUUAAAACAUUCUGUGUGAUGACAAGGAAUUCAGGUGGUAUCAUUUCAUCACAAGUGGAACCAUGAGAUAAAUCUGUUGAAAUUAUGAGGAAGUUCUCAGAGCUUAAUGCCCGUAGGUCAGGAACAUAUUUUUGUGUUGAUAUGGGAGUCACCUCUGUUGCUAUCAAGGAGUGGCUGAAGAGAUUGACAAUGAGAACAGCAGUGGUGUCUUCGUAUCCAAUAACGAGAAUGGAUAAUAUAGAAGUGGUAUUCCAAUGGCUUGAAGUAGAGAAACUACUGGUGAAACUAUUAAAAGAGAUUUAUAUGUUAAUGUUUUAAAUAUGAUAAAAGAAAAUGUUGUCCAAUCUAUUGAGCGGUUUGAGCCAACAUAACAGAGUGGGGAAAGAUUUUUGUUGCUAUUGUUCAUAUUGAUGAGCAAAAUUUUCAUAUUAAUGGCAAAUUGCACCAUGCACAUAUUAUACAAGGCCAGCUGGUAGUAGUAAGGACGUUGUU